rnacentral:lncRNA from 1 species
AUUCGGUUCGGAUAGACUUCAUUCAAGAAUGCCACCGCCCCGGGAAUCAAUAAGAAAACAAGUGCUAAGUUUCAGAUCAGUGAAUAAACCGAAAGGAAAGAAGAGACCUUUCUCGCUCAGCGCCUAAAGCGCACUAUGCUCCGCUUCAACAAAUGAGAGUUUUCGGUGGAACCGGUGAACCACGCGAGCUGGUUAGAUGCGUGGGACAGAGGGCUCGUAGUACCUGCUAGCGCGGCUACGCAGUGGAAGGGAAGGAGCCUAAAUCGACCCCCCUCUUUUUUUCUUUGAAAAAAGCAGUAAGGAGUAAGGAGAUUAAACUCUCGGAUGAGACUAAGCAGCUACCGACCGUUAGUUUCAGAUGAGUGAAUAUACUAAAAGGAAAGAAGACACCUUUCUCGCUCAGCGCCUAAAGCGCACUAUGCUCUGCUUCAACAAAUGAGAGUUUUCGGUGGAACCGGUGAACCACCCGAGCUGGUUAGAUGCGUGGGACAGAGGGCUC